rnacentral:rRNA from 1 species
GAUGAACGCUGGCGGCGUGCCUAAUACAUGCAAGUCGAGCGAACAGAUAAGGAGCUUGCUCCUUUGACGUUAGCGGCGGACGGGUGAGUAACACGUGGGUAACCUAUCUAUAAGACUGGAAUAACUCCGGGAAACCGGGGCUAAUGCAGGAUAACAUGUUGAACCGCAUGGUUCUACAGUGAAAGGCGGCUUUGCUGUCACUUAUAGAUGGACCCGCGCCGUAUUAGCUAGUUGGUGAGGUAACGGCUCACCAAGGCAACGAUACGUAGCCGACCUGAGAGGGUGAUCGGCCACACUGGAACUGAGACACGGUCCAGACUCCUACGGGAGGCAGCAGUAGGGAAUCUUCCGCAAUGGGCGAAAGCCUGACGGAGCAACGCCGCGUGAGUGAUGAAGGUCUUCGGAUCGUAAAACUCUGUUAUUAGGGAAGAACAAAUGCGUAAGUAACUGUGCGCGUCUUGACGGUACCUAAUCAGAAAGCCACGGCUAACUACGUG